UCUCCGUUGGUGAACCAGCGGAGGGAUCAUUACCGAGUUUACAACUCCCAAACCCCUAUGUGAACGUUACCAAACUGUUGCCUCGGCGGGAAAUUCAUGCCCCGGGCGCGUCGCAGCCCCGGACCCAGGCGCCCGCCGGAGGACCAACCAAAACUCUUUUGUAUGUCCCUCGCGGACUUUUAUAAUUCUGAACCAUCUCGGCGCCCCUAGCGGGCGUUUCGAAAAUGAAUCAAAACUUUCAACAACGGAUCUCUUGGUUCUG
rnacentral:misc_RNA from 1 species